rnacentral:rRNA from 1 species
GAGCGAACGGACGAGAAGCUUGCUUCUCUGAUGUUAGCGGCGGACGGGUGAGUAACACGUGGAUAACCUACCUAUAAGACUGGGAUAACUUCGGGAAACCGGAGCUAAUACCGGAUGAUAUUUUGAACCGCGUGGUUCAAAAGUGAAAGACGGUCUUGCUGUCACUUAUAGAUGGAUCCGCGCUGCAUUAGCUAGUUGGUAAGGUAACGGCUUACCAAGGCAACGAUGCAUAGCCGACCUGAGAGGGUGAUCGGCCACACUGGAACUGAGACACGGUCCAGACUCCUACGGGAGGCAGCAGUAGGGAAUCUUCCGCAAUGGGCGAAAGCCUGACGGAGCAACGCCGCGUGAGUGAUGAAGGUCUUCGGAUCGUAAAACUCUGUUAUUAGGGAAGAACAUAUGUGUAAGUAACUGUGCACAUCUUGACGGUACCUAAUCAGAAAGCCACGGCUAACUACGUGCCAGCAGCCGCGGUAAUACGUAGGUGGCAAGCGUUAUCCGGAAUUAUUGGGCGUAAAGCGCGCGUAGGCGGUUUUUUAAGUCUGAUGUGAAAGCCCACGGCUCAACCGUGGAGGGUCAUUGGAAACUGGAAAACUUGAGUGCAGAAGAGGAAAGUGGAAUUCCAUGUGUAGCGGUGAAAUGCGCAGAGAUAUGGAGGAACACCAGUGGCGAAGGCGACUUUUCUGGUCUGUAACUGACGCUGAUGUGCGAA